rnacentral:rRNA from 1 species
GACGAACGCUGGCGGCGUGCCUAAUACAUGCAAGUCGAACGCAGUGGGGACGGGUGAGUAACACGUGGGUAACCUCCCAUCAGAGGGGAUAACACUUGGAAACAGGUGCUAAACCGAUACUGAUGGAUGGACCCGCGGUGCAUUAGCUAGUUGGUGGGGGAACGGCUCACCAAGGCCACGAACCAUAGCCGACCUGAGAGGAUGAUCGGCCACACUGGGACUGAGACACGGCCCAGACUCCUACGGGAGGCAGCAGUAGGGAAUCUUCGGCAAUGGGCGAAAGUCUGACGGAGCAACGCCGCGUGAAUGAAGAAGGUUUUCGGGUCGUAAAACACUUUUGUUAGGGAAGCGGUACCUAACCAGGAAGCAACGGCUAACUACGUGCCAGCAGCCGCGGUAAUAC